rnacentral:rRNA from 1 species
AGGACGAACGCUGGCGGCGUGCUUAACACAUGCAAGUCGAGCGGAAAGGCCAUUUCGGUGGUACUCGAGCGGCGAACGGGUGAGUAGCACGUGAGUAAUCUGCCCUUCACUCCUGGGAUAGCCCUCGAAAGGGGGAUUAAUACCGGAUAUGACCACGUACUGCUAUGGUGUGUGGUGGAAACUUUUUGGGUGGGGGAUGUGCUCGCGGCCUAUCAGUCUUGGUUGGUGGGGUAAUGGCCUACCAAGGCUUCGGACGGGUA